GCAUCCGUAGUAAGCUGGAUAGGUACUCAAGCUACGAACCGGCGGUCGAGGUUCGAAUCCUCCCGGAUGCACCA
rnacentral:tRNA from 1 species